rnacentral:rRNA from 1 species
CCUACGGGUGGCAGCAGUGGGGAAUAUUGCACAAUGGGGGAAACCCUGAUGCAGCGACGCCGCGUGAGCGAUUAAGUAUUUCGGUAUGUAAAGCUCUAUCAGCAGGGAAGAAAAUGACGGUACCUGACUACGAAGCCCCGGCUAACUACGGGCCAGCAGCCGCGGUAAUACGUAGGGGGCAAGCGUUAUCCGGAUUUACUGGGUGUAAAGGGAGCGUAGACGGCUGUGCAAGCCAGAUGUGAAAGCCCGGGGCUCAACCCCGGGACUGCAUUUGGAACUGUGUGGCUGGAGUGUCGGAGAGGCAGGCGGAAUUCCUAGUGUAGCGGUGAAAUGCGUAGAUAUUAGGAGGAACACCAGUGGCGAAGGCGGCCUGCUGGACGAUGACUGACGUUGAGGCUCGAAAGCGUGGGGAGCAAACAGGAUUAGAUACCCUGGUAGUC